AGCCCCGAGGUGUACGUACAUGUAAGAUUGCAAAUCUUAAGUGGCUGAUUAGUGUCGGCCGGGGCUU
rnacentral:tRNA from 1 species